UCUUAGAAGAUAUAUCUGUGUGAUGUCUUAUUUACCAUGGCAACUGUUUGAACAACAGCUUUGAACACAGACAGAGUCAGUGCCAUAUUUUUUCUGGCCAGAUGACUGUAUGAUGCCAUUGUAAGAACCACACGUGAUCGCUCCCUCCAAACCCUUGUUUUGUAUUUCCCAACAAGUCUUGAUUAGUUAGACUGAGUUAAUUGCUGGUGGAUGAAUGUUGUGUGUUACAGCGACAGAUUCCAGCUUCUCCCGGUGCUUCCCCACUGCUGGAGUCGAGCAGCAGAGCCUCGUGCUAAUUCUUCAUUGUGUGUCAGUGAGCAAAUGAAAGAGCUGCUUGUAAUAACCCAUAAAGAGGCUUUUUAUCUGUCCGCGACUCCCGAGUGCUCUCUGUCUUUCUUGCACUUUGUCUUUCUGACAUUUUUUUUUCCCUCUCUCCUUCCAUUUCAGACAGCUUUGCACAGUUUGUCUUUAGAUAAAAUGAAAUGACUUGCUGCGGACGCUGUCAGACUCAGAAGAACAUCUGUCCUGCCUGGAGAUCCUGAUUUCUGACCCCUGCCUGGAGGAGAGCGGCGCUGUGUGCUGUAGAGGGGAGAUAAUGGCCUCUGGCUCCUCAAUCUCUCGCUGUAAUGUGUUUCUGACGCCAGCGAGUGCCUGCGGCCCCUUGGGAGGCACAGGGACGACAUCAUGAUGGAGUGUCAGCAGAAUGAAACGAGAGAAGCCACCCAGAAAGCGAUGACCCGCUGACCCCUGUGGUAAUGCCAGCCUCCAGGCGAGCUGACUUCACACCAGCAGAUGCACACAGCUCUUUCUGUCCUGCUCUUCAGCUGUCCAGGAUCUGGAGCCAUGGAGAGAGAAGAGCUCAAGGACGGGGACAGCAGAGCCGCCGCUGCAGCCCUGCGGGCCUGUUCUGGACUCCACUGUCAGCCAUGAUGGACAGCUGCUGCCCAGGUAUAUCAGGACAAGUGCUUUAUGCGAUAAUGUGGGUGGCUGGUGCCCUGGUUUCUGAUUAUACAUGCACAACAAACCCUCUGCUGUAUGCAAUUAAGUACAAGACCAACAAGAUUAUACAAAUAUAUUCAUAACAGCCUUGGUGUCCACUAUAAUUUAAAAGUGUUAGUGCCCUAUGAAAUCUGUUUUAUUUUUUCAUUAAGUUAA